rnacentral:tmRNA from 1 species
GGAAAUUUUAUAGCUUGAAUCGGGCCGCGCUUGCCCUCAUAAUCCGCUCCAUGGUUGUAAUCCCGGCAACCCGGAGGCGUUCUGGACAGGGGUUCGACUCCCCUCAUCUCCACCCAAGCGCAUGAGUGUUGCGUGUGUUUGGGUGGGGAUGUACCGGUUUCGACAGGGCGAGUGAAGGUGCGCAGGCAACCCGAGAGGCGACGGACGUAAUCCGCGCAAAUCCAUAAACGCCAACGAUGAGCGUUUUGCAAUCGCUGCUUAAGCUGAUUGCCGGGGCCGCUGAAGCCUUGUAACCCAAGACAGCCGGCGGGGGCUUCGGCCUCCGCCGUCA